rnacentral:rRNA from 1 species
AAAACUUUCAACAACGGAUCUCUUGGUUCUCGCAUCGAUGAAGAACGCAGCGAAAUGCGAUAAGUAAUAUGAAUUGCAGAUAUUCGUGAAUCAUCGAAUCUUUGAACGCACAUUGCGCCCUUUGGUAUUCCAAAGGGCAUGCCUGUUUGAGCGUCAUU